GCAUGGUAACUGCUGCUUUAAAUUUUAAAAAAUUACUCAUAAUUUCCCCCAAAGAUUACCAAGAUCUCGAGUGCACAAUGUCAUCAGCGUAAUGAGGAGUAAACAUUUAUGCUAAUAAUCUACAUUUUUUUCCCCAUCAGCUAUAAAGAGGGGAAAUAAAGCAGACAUUUUCAGUCAUAUUCUGAACUCUGCUGCUAUAGCUUAGACCGACACAUGGGACACAUUUUGUGGGAUUUAAGCGCUCGUCUUGAGUCUGUGCUGAAGGACUGCUGCUGCUUCUUGCUGGUGGUGCUGAUCUGCCUCCAUGCUGAUAUCUGAAAAUCCAGAGAGGGCAAACUUGUCUCUUCAAUUUCAAGCUGAAAGGCUUUGGUGACCUCAUGAGCUCCUGCUUCUCAUCACUUUGGGAGGAACUGGACAAUCUGGACUUGUUGCUCCGGAAGUGACUGACACUCUUAUAAGUGCUGAAGCCUGGAGGCAAUAAAUCAAAUUGAAAAUAUA